rnacentral:rRNA from 1 species
GAUGAACGCUGGCGGCGUGCCUAAUACAUGCAAGUCGAGCGAACAGACGAGGAGCUUGCUCCUUCGACGUUAGCGGCGGACGGGUGAGUAACACGUAGGUAACCUACCUAUAAGACUGGGAUAACUUCGGGAAACCGGAGCUAAUACCGGAUAAUAUUACGAACCGCAUGGUUCGCUAGUGAAAGAUGGCUUUGCUAUCACUUAUAGAUGGACCUGCACCGUAUUAGCUAGUUGGUAAGGUAACGGCUUACCAAGGCAACGAGACGUAGCCGACCUGGGAGAGGGAUCGUACACGCUGGAACUGGAACACGGGCCAGACUCCUACGGGAAGCAGCAGUAGGGAACCUUCCGAAACGGGCGAAAGCAUGACGGAGCAACGCGGGGUGAGCUAUGAAGGUCUUCGGAUCGUAAAGCUGUGUUAUUAGGGGAGAACAACCGUGUAAGUAACUGUGGACGUCAUGACGGUACCUGGUCAGAAAGCCACGGCUAACUACGUG